GCGGAGCAUGUGGUUUAAUUCGAAGCAACGCGAAGAACCUUACCUAAACUUGACAUACCUUGAAUUACCUUGUAAUGAGGGAAGCUCGCAAGAGCAAGGAUACAGGUGGUGCAUGGUUGUCGUCAGCUCGUGUCGUGAGAUGUUGGGUUAAGUCCCGCAACGAGCGCAACCCUUGUUGUUAAUUGCUAACAGGUUAAGCUGAGCACUUUAGCGAGACAGCCUAGGUUAACUAGGAGGAAGGUGGGGAUGACGUCAAAUCAUCAUGCCCCUUACGUUUAGGGCUACACACGUGCUACAAUGGUGAGAACAGAGAGAAGCAAGCUAGUGAUAGUGAGCAAAACUUAUAAAACUCAUCUCAGUUCGGAUUGCAGGCUGAAACUCGCCUGUAUGAAGAUGGAGUUGCUAGUAAUCGCGAAUCAGAAUGUCGCGGUGAAUACGUUCCCGGGUCUUGUACACACCGCCCGUCACACCAUGAGAGUUGGCAACACCCGAAACCUGUGGGCUAACCAUAUAGGAGGCAGCAGUCUAAGGUGGGGUCAGUGAUUGGGGUGAAGUCGUAACAAGGUAGCCGUAGGAGAACCUGCGGCUGGAUCACCUCCUUUCUAAGGAA
rnacentral:rRNA from 1 species